AUGUAUUCAAAAUAUAUUGAACAUCUAAAAUAAUUAUCUAUUAUAUGAAGAUUGAUGGUUGAAGGUGGCGGUUGAAGGUUGAAGUUUUUAGAUUUGGGUUUUAUUUUUCAUUGAAUAAUGUUUUUCAUUUCAUGAGAACUUGAUUUUCGUUUCAUGCUUUCAUUUAUUUGGUUUUCUUUCGAUCAAUAACUAUGUUUACCUUUCACUUGAUUUUGAAUGAUUACAUUUGAUGUUUCUUUCUUUUUUUUGAACCGAUUUUAUUUAUGUUUUGGUUACAAAAUAGGUGAAAAUCAAGUAUUUUAAAACCAAAGAACCGAUUUUAGUUACUUUUUGGUUACAAAGUAGAUAUAAAUCAGAUACAUUUAAACUGAAGAACUGAAUGGGACCCGAACCCGAAAGUACAUCGGGUUAUACCGGUUCUUUGAAGAUUUACUAAACCCGACCCGAACCCGAUAGAACCCGAACCGGUCCCGAACUGAAUUUUCAUAUAACCCGAAUGUGGUUGAUUUU
rnacentral:lncRNA from 1 species